UUAAAUUGAAGAGUUUGAUCAUGGCUCAGAUUGAACGCUGGCGGCAGGCCUAACACAUGCAAGUCGAACGGUAGCACAGAGAGCUUGCUCUCGGGUGACGAGUGGCGGACGGGUGAGUAAUGUCUGGGAAACUGCCUGAUGGAGGGGGAUAACUACUGGAAACGGUAGCUAAUACCGCAUAACGUCGCAAGACCAAAGAGGGGGACCUUAGGGCCUCUUGCCAUCAGAUGUGCCCAGAUGGGAUUAGCUAGUAGGUGGGGUAACGGCUCACCUAGGCGACGAUCCCUAGCUGGUCUGAGAGGAUGACCAGCCACACUGGAACUGAGACACGGUCCAGACUCCUACGGGAGGCAGCAGUGGGGAAUAUUGCACAAUGGGCGCAAGCCUGAUGCAGCCAUGCCGCGUGUAUGAAGAAGGCCUUCGGGUUGUAAAGUACUUUCAGCGGGGAGGAAGGGAGUAAGGUUAAUAACCUUGUUCAUUGACGUUACCCGCAGAAGAAGCACCGGCUAACUCCGUGCCAGCAGCCGCGGUAAUACGGAGGGUGCAAGCGUUAAUCGGAAUUACUGGGCGUAAAGCGCACGCAGGCGGUCUGUCAAGUCGGAUGUGAAAUCCCCGGGCUCAACCUGGGAACUGCAUCCGAAACUGGCAGGCUUGAGUCUCGUAGAGGGAGGUAGAAUUCCAGGUGUAGCGGUGAAAUGCGUAGAGAUCUGGAGGAAUACCGGUGGCGAAGGCGGCCUCCUGGACGAAGACUGACGCUCAGGUGCGAAAGCGUGGGGAGCAAACAGGAUUAGAUACCCUGGUAGUCCACGCCGUAAACGAUGUCUAUUUGGAGGUUGUGCCCUUGAGGCGUGGCUUCCGGAGCUAACGCGUUAAAUAGACCGCCUGGGGAGUACGGCCGCAAGGUUAAAACUCAAAUGAAUUGACGGGGGCCCGCACAAGCGGUGGAGCAUGUGGUUUAAUUCGAUGCAACGCGAAGAACCUUACCUGGUCUUGACAUCCACAGAACUUAGCAGAGAUGCUUUGGUGCCUUCGGGAACUGUGAGACAGGUGCUGCAUGGCUGUCGUCAGCUCGUGUUGUGAAAUGUUGGGUUAAGUCCCGCAACGAGCGCAACCCUUAUCCUUUGUUGCCAGCGGUCCGGCCGGGAACUCAAAGGAGACUGCCAGUGAUAAACUGGAGGAAGGUGGGGAUGACGUCAAGUCAUCAUGGCCCUUACGACCAGGGCUACACACGUGCUACAAUGGCGCAUACAAAGAGAAGCGACCUCGCGAGAGCAAGCGGACCUCAUAAAGUGCGUCGUAGUCCGGAUUGGAGUCUGCAACUCGACUCCAUGAAGUCGGAAUCGCUAGUAAUCGUGGAUCAGAAUGCCACGGUGAAUACGUUCCCGGGCCUUGUACACACCGCCCGUCACACCAUGGGAGUGGGUUGCAAAAGAAGUAGGUAGCUUAACCUUCGGGAGGGCGCUUACCACUUUGUGAUUCAUGACUGGGGUGAAGUCGUAACAAGGUAACCGUAGGGGAACCUGCGGUUGGAUCACCUCCUUACCUUAAAGAA
rnacentral:rRNA from 1 species